ACAGGCUCGGUGAAGAUGGGAAGGAUGCUGUUCCCUGCCUGGUUUCAGUGGCUGAGAAUUGUUCCCUUUGUACAGCAAAUUGCUCAGUUGGAGAGAAAAAUCUCAUCUUCAUUGGCUCUGGUAGCGAGGGACCAUCUUCCCCCAGCUUCUGGAAAUCACCCAGGCCCCUAAAAGCUGAAGAGGUGGAUAAAACCCGAGUACACAGCUGCCUGCAAACCUCACUUUAGACUGAAA